AAGUCGUAACAAGGUUUCCGUAGGUGAACCUGCGGAAGGAUCAUUACCGAGUGAGGGCCCUUUGGGUCCAACCUCCCACCCGUGUUUAUUUUACCUUGUUGCUUCGGCGGGCCCGCCUUUACUGGCCGCCGGGGGGCUCACGCCCCCGGGUCCGCGCCCGCCGAAGACACCCUCGAACUCUGUCUGAAGAUUGAAGUCUGAGUGAAAAUAUAAAUUAUUUAAAACUUUCAACAACGGAUCUCUUGGUUCCG
rnacentral:misc_RNA from 1 species